AAUAACUGGUGGGAGGAGCAAUGACUUUAAUUGAGUGACACGUCAACAUCGUGCUUGAGGGUGGCCGUCAUGAAUAGACUAACAACUGGCGAGAGGAGCGAUGACGUCAUGUCAACAUUGUGUGUGGCGUUUUGGAUGAUUUCAAGUGUGUCCAUUUCAUUGCGCAAGGUGGCUGUUAUCACGACCAACUUGCGGGAGGACCGAUGGCAAAUAAUGGGUCCUCUUAGCAGCGACAGAGUGGAUGUCAAUAAUAUCAUCAUCACUUGGCGAGGUGACUUCCAAAAAGUGCGUACUGUCCCUUUAAGAAGCGCCACACCCGGUAACACCUUUGUCACCAUGGCAACACACAACUCUUGUAAAUAGCACUUGGUCAACACACAAAUGUUGUCACAAUUUGUAUCAAUGACAAAGUUUCCAGCGACUGAAGACGAAAGUUGUUGACGUUGGAAGAAGAGCGCUCUGAAGAUACUGAUAAAGCUCCUUCAAGAUACUGAUAAAGCUCCUUCAAGAUACUGAUAAAGCUCCUUCAAGAUACUGAUAAAGCUCCUUCAAGAUACUGAUAAAGCUCCUUCAAGAUACUGAUAAAGCUCCUUCAAGAUACUGAUAAAGCUCGUUGAAGAGCAGUCAACCUGAUAAAUACUCUUCAUGGAUGUCAUCUUUUCAAAAUGUGUUGAUGCUACAGAUUGAAACAUCUAAACAUUCUUUUCACGUGACAUACCCUCAAUUCCGGACUAUAAGCCGCAACUUUUUUUCCCUACGCUUUGAACCCUGCAGCUUAUAAAACAGUGCGGCUAAUUCAUGGAUUUUUCUUGGCUGACGGCCAUAAUGCAUGUCGUUUUUUGUUUUUUUAAACGAGCAAAUACACCGAGAAGGUGUUUUAUUGUUUGUGCUAUGGCGCCAUCUUUUGGACGAGUCCGCAGCGUUUCUACUCGUGCGGAUUCUUCAUUCAUCGCCCCCAAGCGACGUUUGUAAGUUGUACAAUUUAACUAAAACUAUUCUUACUUAUUAAACCAUCCCACGUGUGAUGUCUGUCGGAGUGUUUUCAUGCAUAUUUGCACGUGCUAUCGUCACGUCAUCAAGCUAGCGUCGUUAGCAUCAGCUAAUGUGCUAACACGUUAACGGGUGUCUGUGUUAGUAUUAUUAACUUACAACAGGAUUCUUCUUGUAUGGUUUCACUUUCACAAAUCCCUCAGUAAAUUCACCAAAAUGUCA